rnacentral:rRNA from 1 species
GAUGAACGCUAGCUACAGGCUUAACACAUGCAAGUCGAGGGGUAACGAGAGGGAAGCUUGCUUUCCUUGUCGACGACCGGCGCACGGGUGAGUAACGCGUAUCCAACCUGCCCCCAACUAGGGAAUAACCUUGCGAAAGUAAGACUAAUACCCUAUAAUUUCCUCAGAUGUCAUCUGACGAGGAAUAAAGAUUUAUCGGUUGUGGAUGGGGAUGCGUCUGAUUAGCUUGUUGGCGGGGUAACGGCCCACCAAGGCAACGAGCAGUAGGGGUUCUGAGAGGAAGGUCCCCCACAUUGGAACUGAGACACGGUCCAAACUCCUACGGGAGGCAGCAGUGAGGAAUAUUAGUCAAUGUGCGGAAGCCUGAACCAGCCAAGUAGCGUGCAGGAUGACGGCCCUAUGGGUUGUAAACUGCUUUUAUACAGGAAUAAAGUUAGCCACGUGUGGUUAUUUGUAGGUACUGUAUGAAUAAGGACCGGCUAAUUCCGUGCCAGCCGCCGCGGUAA